rnacentral:rRNA from 1 species
UACGAAGGGGGCUAGCGUUGCUCGGAAUUACUGGGCGUAAAGGGAGCGUAGGCGGGUUAUCAAGUUGGAGGUGAAAGCCCAGGGCUCAACCUUGGAAUUGCCUUCAAAACUAAUAGCCUAGAGUAUGGAAGAGGUAAGUGGAACUCCGAAUAUAAAGGUGAAAUUCGUAGAUAUUCGGAAGAACACCAGUGGCGAAGGCGACUUACUGGUCCAUGACUGACGCUGAGGCUCGAAAGCGUGGGGAGCAAAC